UGGGGAGUUGAUGGGGUGGAUAUGCUUCUCCUUAUGCCAAGGUUUUCCGAUCUUUGACAAUUUCACUUUCAGUUUCCUUAAAGUCGGUGCAUCUGAAGCUAUAUAUAUAGGCUAAAUCUCAGAAACAUGGAGGCAGAGCAGGGGGCAGAGGAACUGAAAAGUCUCAAUCAUAAUAGGGUUGAACUUGAGAGGUUAAGCCGUAUGUAAGAGCGGAUGGUCAAUAGGGAGAAGUUAGAAGUAAGU